rnacentral:lncRNA from 11 species
CACAUGUGGAUGACAGACUCAGCCAUAUCAGUUACUUGCACUGCUUGUUUUGUAUGCCAGUUAACUAACAACAACUAACAGCAGUAAUAAUAAUAUAUUACCUGUGGCUUAAAAUUCUUUAAACCAGAAUUUUGAUAUUUUGUCCUCCCCCUUUCCUGCUGUUUGUGCAAAUAAUGCCAAGAAAGCCAUCAUCAUCUUUCACCAAACUCAUCAACCAUUGGAGUGAAGAAAUCCUGCAUGAACUGGGCAUUUCUGAGUGCAUGACUGGGAGGAAUAAAAUAUCUACUGUCAGGUACCCUUGACUUGGCCUUUUUGCUUGAGAAGUGAUGUCCUGAACUGUGAUCAUCAUCACUGCGAUGGCUUCCCCUCUCUGGUGUCACUGCAAUAAAGGGUAAGUCUUCCCUGAGGGAUAUGUUCUGUUCCACCUGCUAAAUUUAGCUUUUCCUGUUAGA